AACAUCCCUCUUCCUCUCCUCCAUCCUCCAUAAAUGCUACAUUAAAAGCUUCAGAUUUCUCCUCGUGAGCUCUUUUCACGAUUCUUGUAGCUUCUCAAAUUAAUGCUCCAACCUCCCUUUGUUGUUGGGUAGUUGGAAAUUUUAAAUGCAACUCCUUCAAUGCUACCAUCGCCAGCCCUCUAUUUUUGUUGCAUAUUGGGGACUACCUUCUUUAAGACAUCUCUCUCUCUCUCUCUCGUACAUAUAUAGGAUCAUCACCACCCUCACAAAGCAUUGUCCUCACUCGUGUUUAGAGCUAGCCAGCCACUCUCACUGCCACAUAAGAAGAAUUUCAUUUUCUUCAUAUGAUCUGAAGACUACCCUUUUUAAGUUUUUGUCUUGUUAACCUGUAGAAGAACUAACAUUUUGAUCUAUGUUUAGGGUUUAUAUAUAUUUUGUUAUUGCAGAUGUGCAGAAGUACUGUUGCUAAGAGUAAACAUGGUAAUCCAUUGGAGAUCAACGGAUCCGUUUAACGGGAUAUUGGUCCGGUUCAAUAAGAAAGCCGUGCUCAAAAUGUUUCGGGCGCUGCUUUUUGAUUGAGCCGUGCCAAUAUCACGUUCCGCUGCUCCCAAGUCCUCAUAUCUCUUAUCAAGAAUGCGAAGCGCCAAACAGACCUUGCUACUUCUGAUCUCUUGUCCUGCUUCUCGGUUGGGGAUCGAAUUAAUUGAAGAUAUGUCGAACGCUAGGUCUUUAUCAUGGGGAUAUAUGGUCCUAGCAACUUAAAAUUAGUUCAUUUUAGAAGAAGGCUGCUGCAUGGGGAACUGAUCCUCCAUGGUCUUUUAUAUCUCAAAGAAGAAGGCGUCUGCGUCCUACGUACUGCAAAUAGACUUGAUUUCCUGAUCAUCUUGUUCACCUGCAUGCCUACUGUCAUUUAUAUAUGGAAAGUUGUGCAAGGAAAUCAAUUUACGUAAAUCCAUUUAUUCCUCCUUAAUUUACGUAUGUGUUUAGUUUUAAAGUUAAAAGCUUCAUGAUUAACGUAUGUCUUCCUGUACGAUGUAAUAAUGAUUUUCCAUUGAAGUAAUGACAAAGAAUAAACUAUACUCCAAAUUAUUGAGUAAA